rnacentral:rRNA from 1 species
GACGUAGGGUGCGAGCGUUGUCCGGAAUCACUGGGCGUAAAGGGCGCGUAGGCGGCCGGAGAAGUCGGUGGUGAAAGCCCGUGGCUCAACUGCGGGUCGGCCAUCGAUACUCUUUGGCUCGAGUUUGGUAGAGGCAGAUGGAAUUCCGGGUGUAGCGGUGGAAUGCGUAGAGAUCCGGAAGAACACCGGUGGCGAAGGCGGUCUGCUGGGCCAAGACUGACGCUGAGGCGCGACAGCGUGGGGAGCAAACAGG